rnacentral:lncRNA from 1 species
GCGCGGAGCUGGCUCUGUCCACGUAGCGGGUGCUGAACGCCCCAUUCUGGCCCCUGGGUGCUCGCUUAGUCCCGGCCACGCGUGGCUGCUCGCCCUCGGGACACACUGGGCGCUGGGAAGGCCGGGCGGGGAGCGCGCACCGGAGAAACCGCUGUGGGAAUCCCGGCCACAUUUCCAGGCCCCUUGGGCCGUCCCACGCCAGACAAGAAAGCCCUGACUCCGAAACCCUGGGCGAGUGUGGAGGGCGCGCGGGGGUGGGGUGUACCCGCCCACGCAAACUGCUGCUGAUCUCCCUUAAAGCCGAGUUAGAGGCUUGGGGCGAGACAGGAGUGACGGGCGAUGCUGUCACUCCAUCUGUCAUUCUACCCAGCCUGCAGCAGCUGAAUUCGAACCCAGAGACUUCAGGCCUUUGCGUUGUUACCGCAGUCCGCAUUUCAAAGCCAGAGUUUGGCCACUGAGUCACCAUGACCUCGAGUACUGGCGGGGCCCGAGCCAGCAGAGCUAGCCACAGGAGGGAGCCUCCCAGGUGGUCGACCGGAGCCAGGUGCUGCCAGGCACCCGACUGCAGAGCUUGCCCUCCAGGUGAUCUCGCAGUAUCGGUGUUCACAAGCCCUGUAAGGCACUCGGGGUAUCCUGAAGGCUACAGAUUCUGCAAGGGCAGAGACUUUAAGGAACAGCCAUAGUCCUUCUCCAGCUCAAAAUCUGGACCAUGGGCACAAGGUUGUCCCGGAACCAUCGAUCUCUAGAAGGUACAGGAGGAAGGGGACCUGCCAGUCCAGCCCUCAUAUUUUACAGAGGGAAAAGGUGAAGCCCCAUGUAAAACAGGGAUUUCCCUCGGUGACACUUCCAGGCUGAGAAGGGCCGGGGAUCUGGACACCUACCCAGAAACACUCCCACCCUGUCAAUGCCUCUCUGAAUUAUGUGAUCAACUGCCUGGAGUAUGAACUAGGCACAUGCAAAUAGAGAACAGAGGUCUUGUUGAAAAUAUGAUGCUGAAUUUUAAAAACUCACUCCCCAAAUUAAAGGAACAAGACCAGAGCAUUUGGUUUCCUGUGGUCACUUGAUCCCUCUCCAGAGCCAGCUGCUGCUCUCCAUUGUCAGCACACUCCACUCACUGCCCUAUUUCCAGAACAGGAGACUUUCUGCCCCAUCCAUGGCCGCAACAUACCACUCACACACACACACUACAUGUGCACGUACACACAAUGCACAAUACACAUACCUGCACAUGUGCAAACA